UACGUAGGUGGCAAGCGUUGUCCGGAUUUAUUGGGCGUAAAGCGCGCGCAGGCGGUCUUUUAAGUCUGAUGUGAAAUCUCGCGGCUCAACCGUGAGCGGUCAUUGGAAACUGGAAGACUUGAGUACAGAAGAGGAGAGUGGAAUUCCACGUGUAGCGGUGAAAUGCGUAGAUAUGUGGAGGAACACCAGUGGCGAAGGCGACUCUCUGGUCUGUAACUGACGCUGAGGCGCGAAAGCGUGGGGAGCGAACAGGAUUAGAUACCCUGGUAGUCCACGCCGUAAACGAUGAGUGCUAGGUGUUAGGGGUUUCGAUGCCCUUAGUGCCGAAGUUAACACAUUAAGCACUCCGCCUGGGGAGUACGACCGCAAGGUUGAA
rnacentral:rRNA from 1 species